GUGCUUGCUUUGGCAGCACAUAUACUAAAACUGUAAUGUUACAGAGAAGAUUAUUUUGGCCCUUGUUCAAGGAUGGCAUACAAGUUUGUGAAGUGUUCCAUAUUUUU
rnacentral:snRNA from 1 species